UCCGGCUUAUCACCGGCAGUCUGCUCAGGGUUCCAAACUAAAUGUUGGCAACUAAACACGAGGGUUGCGCUCGUUGCGGGACUUAACCCAACACCUUACGGCACGAGCUGACGACAGCCAUGCACCACCUGUGCAGGAUCCCUUGCGGACCCGACAUCUCUGCCGGAUUACCCUGCAUGUCAAGCCUUGGUAAGGUUCUUCGCGUUGCAUCGAAUUAAUCCGCAUGCUCCGCCGCUUGUGCGGGGCCCCGUCAAUUCCUUUGAGUUUUAGCCUUGCGGCCGUACUCCCCAGGCGGGGCGCUUAAUGCGUUAGCUGCGGCACGGACCUCGUGGAAUGAGGCCCACACCUAGCGCCCAACGUUUACGGCGUGGACUAC
rnacentral:misc_RNA from 1 species